AAAUUUAGGAUAAACCUAAACCAGAGACCUUCAAAGUCUCAAACAAGAGCUACCGCCUCUUAAUUUCU
rnacentral:tRNA from 1 species